UAUUACUGUGGACCACAUAGCAAAAAUUGCGUUCUCUCUCUCUCUUGUUAUGUAAUUCUCUCCUUCUGUUUGCAACAAAGUCUUCUUUCAUAACCAAUAAAAAAAAAUUCCGUUCUUCUUUCUCCUAUACCAAAUUAAUCCUCCAUCUUGUCUCCGUUUGUGCUGAGCCAUCAUUAACCAUGAUGUAUAUUCAACCGAUAUCAAGAUUUUACCGUGUUAUAAUUAAGUUCACAGAGAAAAGGCAAAGUGUAUUUCCCAAAGGUAGCAACUGAUCCACGGCUUUAAAACUUGCUACUAGUUUAUUUUCAUGCUCUUUUUGAUCGUUAUAUUUGGGGAAAUCUCUGCUUUAAAAACAAAAAAAAAAACUUUAUGGCAGACGACGGGUCAGUACUUUUAAUACUUCUGCAUCAAACAUUUUCAUGUCGAGAAAUACACUUUUAUGUAUAUUCAACGGAUAUUAAAGAGGCAGCAUGACUUGAGAGAGUGAGGGAAUUGCAGAUGAGCAUUGGAACUAUUAGUAAGUCGCCUCACAUCACAAAGCUAACGGAGCCAAAGGGAACUAUUUCCAGGAAUCAAACGUAUUCCACUGGAGUCGGAAUUGUGUGAAUUAGAAUCAGAGUUGUCAAAAGAGAUGAACAUACCUAUCUUUUGCUAUCAGAUACAUUGAAUUUUCUCUUCUUUUUUUAAUAAUUCAUUUUGCUGGCAAAAGGAACUAAAUCACAUAUUUUUUUAGCAAAUUUACGCUAGACAGAAUAUGUAGAAGUCUUGCCUCAGAUAAAAUUUUAACUUGAAACAUCAUAUCGAUUUUAUUGAUAUCCAUUAAAACUCACCUUAGGAUCAAAACAUUUGUCAGCAGAAAAUAAAUUAAAUUAAUAAGAAUAAUCUAAAUAGAACGACAUAAAAUGAAACUCUACCUAACAAGUUGUGGGCCUUGUUUAUUUGAAACUGUAAGGUAAUGUCCAAGCAAUUUCUUUGUGACUGACCAAACAAAGAGAGUAGACUUUAUUGUAUUGAAGAUAAAUAAUCGGUCAAAAAAGCAUAUUUUAAUAAAUAUGUACAUUAGUAGAAGUACUUGUGGAGCAAUAAAAUUCGUAGCGGAGUUAUGAGUUUAGCGAAGUGUGUGUAAAUAUUUUUCUUAGUUAUGUUAAGGGUGUAAAAAAUUAAAUAUACACCUGUAAUAAUGGAGUAAUAUUUAAUCUCGUA